GUGUGUUUCUCUCCCUGCUGCAUGACUGCUCAUCAUAUCCAUAUUACUCUAUUCUUCAGAAGCUUAAGUAAGAAAGAUUUCUUCCACUCUGAAUUAAAAGAUUUCAUUUUCAUCAUGACUCCUCCUCCUCCUUACAGUAUGAGACGUUUUUGUCUCCUCUUGCUUAACCCUGAUUCUAACGCGAGCUCUGGAUAUUUCCACACACUUCUUUUUUGUUAGCUUUUAGGAAACUAGUGAGAUCUAAAAAUGAUCAUUAUUCACUGAACUAUAUCAGAGGUAUUUUCUGUAUUUUUACAGGAUUUUUAGAGACUGGAGCACCUUUAUCUUCAUCCUCGAUCGUUUUAUCAUUUAUGAUGUUGUAUCAAGUUUGUCUAUUGUCUGAGUUGUUUGUUGUUAAAAUACUUUUGUUUUACUGUAACCAAAUGUACCUAUGGGUACAAAGAAUGUAACUUAACCUAACUCAUAAAUAUACUACAGCAAAAUCAGUUUCUAUAGUUGAAAGCAUUUGUAUGAUUAGUCAGAUAGUUUAUUACCCACUCGAGUUAAUGAGGGAGAUAGAGGAGUUAUUCUGUUUUAUCUUUGUUUUGCAGUUCAGACAUGUAUUCUACAAUCCUGCUGAUUUUACUUCUAUCUGCAUCCACCAUUGGUCAGAUCUCAGGGCAGUUCCUCAGUGCCACUGUUGGAGGCUCCGUCCUGAUCCCCUGCUCUCUACCAGUUCCUCCACGGAGAAUCAAAUGGUUUUACUGGCAGGAGGACCAGUCCAACAACAUCUUGUUUCACUGGCACACCAAUGGGCAAACACAACCAAUAGCUGACGAAUACAAAAACAGAUGCCAAGUCUUCAGUACUGAGUUUAGUUCUGGAAAUAUUUCCAUUAGACUUGACAAUGUUGCUGUUGGACAUGACAACAAAACAUUUUGGGCCAAUGUACGUUUAAUGGACGAGAAAGAAUCUAAAAAACACUGUAAAUCCACACUGCAGGUUUCAGCUCCUUUCCAGAAACCAAACAUUGAGAUAAACCAAACAGAGAUGACAGCAACCUGCAGCACAAAUGGAGGAUACCCUAAACCUGAACUCAAAUGGAGCGGGGAUGGAGGGACUAAACUGGAACCACAAAAAACCACAAUGACUCGUGAAGCAGACCUCACCUACAACAUCAGCAGCAGAGUCAACAUCACUGGGUUACAGAAAGUGACCUGCACAGUUUACAACCCAACUUCAAACCAGACUCUGACUGCAACUAAAGAUGUGUCUCCAGGUGCUUCAAUGUUUACUUUUCAUUUUUUAAUGUGUGAUGAUCGUUUCAUCUGCCUGCCAUCUACUUACUGUGCUGUGUCUGUAAAAUAGACAUGAAGUCAAAUAGAAAGGGCUGCUGAAGUUUUAACUUAUUUUGAGGCCCAUUUAUAAAGAAGUUCUCUGUGUCAAAAUCAAGUUUUAAUGCUUUUAAUAUUUCAAUUGAUAUAUUUAUAGUGCAGAUUUCUGUGGGAUGGUAUCACUGACAUAAAGUAGUAUGCUUGCAUAUUCAACAAUAAUGUUAAGACUAAGCAUAAUGUGGUUCAAAGUUUCUCUUUUUAUUGUUUUCUGUUUAUCUAAUAAAUCAGUGACUGAAGAUUUGUGGAGCUGAAAGAAUUCAG
rnacentral:lncRNA from 15 species